rnacentral:rRNA from 1 species
CAGCCCGACCGCUGCGCGGCGUGCCUAAUACAUGCAAGUCGAGCGGACAGAUGGGAGCUUGCUCCCUGAUGUUAGCGGCGGACGGGUGAGUAACACGUGGGUAACCUGCCUGUAAGACUGGGAUAACUCCGGGAAACCGGGGCUAAUACCGGAUGGUUGUUUGAACCGCAUGGUUCAAACAUAAAAGGUGGCUUCGGCUACCACUUACAGAUGGACCCGCGGCGCAUUAGCUAGUUGGUGACCUAACCAUCACCAAGGCAACGAUGCGUAGCCGACCUGAGAGGGUGAUCGGCCACACUGGGACUGAGACACGGCCCAGACUCCUACGGGAGGCAGCAGUAGGGAAUCUUCCUCUUCCCCGACACUCUGACCGCCAGCAUCCCCCCCUCCUCCCUCCACCUCUUCUGAUGGGAAGCUCAAUGUU